rnacentral:misc_RNA from 1 species
CUAGUCAAAAUUCUUCACUUUCUCUGCAAAUUUAACAUAUAGCAAUAAAUAAAAUAUAUCUCAUAUCUCCUGAUUCUAACCAGCUGAGUAUUAGAAUUACAACAGCAAUACAACUAAGAAUCCGAAAGAACACAAACAUUAACUAUAUAUACAUAUAUAUAUAUCCUCUUUAAAUGUUUGGUUAUCUCCAGAAAACCAACCAAAACUCACCAAUGAUCAAAGGCAAAUCACCAACGAAUUCACAUGAACUAGAAAAGAAGAAUUCGACACUUCCAGAUAAAAACAGAUGGAAUAAUUUUUCUUUAAAUAAAGUACAAAUUAAAAAAAUAAUAAUAAAAA